rnacentral:rRNA from 1 species
AGGACGAACGCUGGCGGCGUGCUUAACACAUGCAAGUCGAGCGGAAAGGCCCUUCGGGGUACUCGAGCGGCGAACGGGUGAGUAACACGUGAGCAACCUGCCCUUAGCUCUGGGAUAGCUCCGGGAAACCGGAAUUAAUACCGGAUAUUACACCGGCUGGCAUCGGCUGGUGUGGAAAGAUUUAUCGGCUAAGGAUGGACUCGCGGCCUAUCAGCUUGUUGGUGGGGUAGAAGCCUACCAAGGCGACGACGGGUA